rnacentral:rRNA from 1 species
UUGAACGCUGGCGGCAGGCCUAACACAUGCAAGUCGAACGGUAACAGGAAGCAGCUUGCUGCUUUGCUGACGAGUGGCGGACGGGUGAGUAAUGUCUGGGAAACUGCCUGAUGGAGGGGGAUAACUACUGGAAACGGUAGCUAAUACCGCAUAACGUCGCAAGACCAAAGAGGGGGACCUUCGGGCCUCUUGCCAUCGGAUGUGCCCAGAUGGGAUUAGCUAGUAGGUGGGGUAACGGCUCACCUAGGCGACGAUCCCUAGCUGGUCUGAGAGGAUGACCAGCGCCACUGGAACUGAGACACGGUCCAGACUCCUACGGGAGGCAGCAGUGGGGAAUAUUGCACAAUGGGCGCAAGCCUGAUGCAGCCAUGCCGCGUGUAUGAAGAAGGCCUUCGGGUUGUAAAGUACUUUCAGCGGGGAGGAAGGGAGUAAAGUUAAUACCUUUGCUCAUUGACGUUACCCGCAGAAGAAGCACCGGCUAACUCCGUG